rnacentral:misc_RNA from 1 species
UGUGGGAGCGGGCUUGCUCGCGAAAGCGCUGGUUCAGGCGGCAAAUAUGUUGGAUGUGCCGGCCUCUUCGCGAGCAAGCCCGCUCCCACA